AGAGUUUGAUCCUGGCUCAGGACGAACGCUGGCGGCGUGCCUAACACAUGCAAGUCGAGCGGAGACAGUGAGUAGCUUGCUAUGAGCUGUUUUAGCGGCGGACGGGUGAGUAACGCGUGAGCAACCUUUCCCAGACAGGGGGAUAACACACCGAAAGGUGUACUAAUACCGCAUAAGACCACGGGAUCACAUGGUUCUGGGGUAAAAGAUUUAUCGGUUUGGGGUGGGCUCGCGUCCGAUUAGGUAGUUGGUGAGGUAACGGCCCACCAAGCCGACGAUCGGUAGCCGACCUGAGAGGGUGAUCGGCCACAUUGGGACUGAGACACGGCCCAAACUCCUACGGGAGGCAGCAGUGGGGAAUAUUGGGCAAUGGAGGAAGCUCUGACCCAGCAACGCCGCGUGGAGGAAGAAGGUUUUCGGAUCGUAAACUCCUGUCCUUGGAGACGAGUAGAAGACGGUAUCCAAGGAGGAAGCCCCGGCUAACUACGUGCCAGCAGCCGCGGUAAUACGUAGGGGGCAAGCGUUGUCCGGAAUAAUUGGGCGUAAAGGGCGCGUAGGCGGCUCGGUAAGUCUGGAGUGAAAGUCCUGCUUUUAAGGUGAGAAUUGCUUUGGAUACUGUCGGGCUUGAGUGCAGGAGAGGUUAGUGGAAUUCCCAGUGUAGCGGUGAAAUGCGUAGAGAUUGGGAGGAACACCAGUGGCGAAGGCGACUAACUGGACUGUAACUGACGCUGAGGCGCGAAAGUGUGGGGAGCAAACAGGAUUAGAUACCCUGGUAGUCCGCACGGUAAACGAUGAAUGCUCGCUAUGGGCGAUAUAUUGUCCGUGGCCAAGCGAAAGCGUUAAGUAUUCCACCUGGGGAGUACGCCGGCAACGGUGAAACUCAAAGGAAUUGACGGGGGCCCGCACAAGCGGAGGAACAUGUGGUUUAAUUCGAUGAUACGCGAGGAACCUUACCCGGGCUUGAAUUGCAGGUGCAUGAGUCAGAGAUGAUUCUUUCCUUCGGGACUCCUGUGAAGGUGCUGCAUGGUUGUCGUCAGCUCGUGCCGUGAGGUGUCGGCUUAAGUGCCAUAACGAGCGCAACCCUUCUCCCCAGUUGCCAUCGGGUAAUGCCGGGCCCUCUGGGGACACUGCCAUCGUAAGAUGCGAGGAAGGUGGGGAUGACGUCAAAUCAGCACGGCCCUUACGUCCGGGGCCACACACGUGUUACAAUGGGGGGUACAGAGGGCCGCUGUCCGGUGACGGUCGGCCAAUCCCUAAAACCCCUCUCAGUUCGGACUGGAGUCUGCAACCCGACUCCACGAAGCUGGAUUCGCUAGUAAUCGCGCAUCAGCCAUGGCGCGGUGAAUACGUUCCCGGGCCUUGUACACACCGCCCGUCAAGCCAUGAAAGCCGGGGGUGCCUGAAGUCCGUGACCGCGAGGGUCGGCCUAGGGUAAAACUGGUGAUUGGGGCUAAGUCGUAACAAGGUA
rnacentral:rRNA from 1 species